AAAUUGAAGAGUUUGAUCAUGGCUCAGAUUGAACGCUGGCGGCAGGCCUAACACAUGCAAGUCGAACGGUAACAGGAAACAGCUUGCUGUUUCGCUGACGAGUGGCGGACGGGUGAGUAAUGUCUGGGAAACUGCCUGAUGGAGGGGGAUAACUACUGGAAACGGUAGCUAAUACCGCAUAACGUCGCAAGACCAAAGAGGGGGACCUUCGGGCCUCUUGCCAUCGGAUGUGCCCAGAUGGGAUUAGCUAGUAGGUGGGGUAACGGCUCACCUAGGCGACGAUCCCUAGCUGGUCUGAGAGGAUGACCAGCCACACUGGAACUGAGACACGGUCCAGACUCCUACGGGAGGCAGCAGUGGGGAAUAUUGCACAAUGGGCGCAAGCCUGAUGCAGCCAUGCCGCGUGUAUGAAGAAGGCCUUCGGGUUGUAAAGUACUUUCAGCGGGGAGGAAGGGAGUAAAGUUAAUACCUUUGCUCAUUGACGUUACCCGCAG
rnacentral:rRNA from 1 species